rfam:Physcomitrella patens subsp. patens PHYPAscaffold_53 genomic scaffold, whole genome shotgun sequence.
GAUCACUGAUGAAGAAUCUUAGGCUUGUUUCUCAAAUAUUCAUAGUAGCCACCUAAAGCUUUUGUCUUACAUGGCUACAAAGCUAAUGUAGCUUCCAAACCUUCCUUGGAUAUUUGAGAUU